rnacentral:rRNA from 1 species
AGCCCACCAGCUAGCUCACACCCUAAAAUACAACAACCCUAUAUAAAUAAACCCUAAUAAACCCAAACACCUAAAACAAACCAUUUUACCCCCUAAGUAUGGGCGACAGAAAAGGACCCUCGAAGCAAUAGAAACAGUACCGCAAGGGAACGCUGAAAGAGAAAUGAAACAAAUCAGUAAAGCGCAAAAAAGCAGAGUUUAACUCUCGUACCUUUUGCAUCAUGAUUUAGCAAGAAAACAUCAAGCACAAAGAAUUUUAGUUUGACACCCCGAAACCAAGUGAGCUACUUCAAGACAGCCUAAAAGGGCGAACCCGUCUCUGUGGCAAAAGAGUGGGAAGAUCUUUAAGUAGAGGUGACAGACCUACCGAACUUAGUUAUAGCUGGUUGUCCAGGAAUUGAAUAGGAGUUCAGCCUUUUGCCCUCUUCCCCCAAAACCGGGCACACACAAUGCACCUAAGAGGACAAAGGAGUUAGUCAAAGGGGGUACAGCCCCUUUGAAAGAGACACAACUUUACCAGAAGGGUUAAGAUCAUAAAUCAACUUUAGGGAAUGUGUUCUAGUUGGCCUAAAAGCAGCCACCCACAUAGAAAGCGUUAAAGCUCAUACACACUCCACCCCGAUUAUCCGGACUACACUAUCUUAUCCCACUAAACGUACUGGACCUUUCCAUACUAAUAUGGAAGAGAUUAUGCUAAUAUGAGUAAUAAGAGACCUAGAAUCUCUCCUAGCACAUGUGUAUAUCGGAACGAACUAACACCGAGAAUUAACGGACCCAAAGAAAGAGGGUAAUGGAAUACCACGGCUAAACCGCUAGAAAACCCCCCACAACUCAACCGUUAACCUUACACCAGAGUGCACACAAGGAAAGACUAAAAGAAAAAGAAGGAACUCGGCA